GGUUAGCUCAAUCGGUAGAGCGUGAGACUCUUAAUCUCAAGGUUGCGGGUUCGGUUAGUCAGACCAGCAAACCA
rnacentral:tRNA from 1 species